GCCGCUUCCGGCGCGUUGCCAUGGCUGCCGCCAUCAACUUCCGGCGUGCCGGGCGGGCGGAUUGCAGCGAGGGCUGUCCGCUGGCUGCCGUGAGGGACGGCCAUGCCUCCCAAGGCGGCCGACAAGCGCCGGCAGGGCCAAGGUGGACCUUCAGGAGGAAAGGCAGGAAAAGCUGGUAAAGCUGGACAUAAAAAAAAGGCUGCGGAUGACUUUCCUGAAACGGGAGAGGACUGGUCAUCAGGAAGGGCUGCAGUCAGGUCCCCAGAUCAGCUGGAGCUAACUGAAGAUGAAUUAAAAAAGGAAAUUAUACGUACCUUGACAGCUAAUAAUCCCCAUAUUCCCCAGAAUAUCGUCAGAUUCAGCUUUAAAGAACGAGCAUACAAGCUAGUGGACAAUAUGGAUCAAACAGCCAUUCACUUCACUUUGAAUGGAUAUUUGAUACACAAAGAUUCAGAUGAAGGCAGACGCCAGAGUAUCAGAUCAAGCAUUGAAUGGUUUAUCUAUGAUGCGUAUAUGGAGGAACUUGAGAGAAUGGAAAAGGCAAAAGAGAAAGAAAAAGCAAAACCUGCAGCAGCAAAGAAAGACGAUAAUAAAACUGGAAGAAGGUUAUCGUAUGUGGAGUCACCGCAGGUUGAUUCUCUAACAAAAGUUGCAAAGGCUGCUAAAAUAGCAGAACGGAUGGUGAACCUGAACACAUAUGAUGACAUUGCACAAGAUUUUAAAUAUUUUGAGGAUGCAUCAGAUGAAUUCAGAGGGCAGAAAGGAACCCUCCUCCCACUCUGGAAGUUCCAGUAUGAAAAAACCAAGAAACUUGCAGUUACUGCCCUCUCCUGGAAUCCAAAGUACAAGGACCUAUUUGCAGUGGGGUAUGGCUCUUAUGACUUCAUGAAGCAGGGCCAUGGCAUGCUCCUGCUCUACACCUUGAAGAACCCCUCCUUCCCAGAGUACUCCUUCAGCAGUGAGAGUGGCGUCAUGUGCCUGGACUUCCACAGUGACCACCCCUACCUCUUGGCAGUGGGCUUCUAUGAUGGCAAUGUGGCCAUUUACAACCUGAAGAAGGCAAGCUCCCAGCCCAGCUACAGGAGUAGUGCUAAGUCAGGAAAGCACACAGAGCCAGUGUGGCAGGUAAGGUGGCAGAAGGAUGAUAUGGACAACAAUUCCAACUUCUUCUCUGUCUCCUCGGAUGGGCGGAUUGUUUCCUGGACUUUAGUUAAGAAUGAGCUGGUUCACAUGGAUGUCAUCAAGCUGUCAGCAGAUGAAACAACGAUGCAGGGGCCAGAGGGGCUGCAGCUGCAAACGCUUGGCAGUGGGACAUCGUUUGAUUUUCACAAAAAGAUAGACUAUUUGUUUCUUGUUGGUACUGAAGAGGGCAAGAUCUAUAAGUGUUCAAAAAGUUAUUCAAGCCAGUUUCUGGAUGUGUUUGAAGCCCAUCACAUGGCUGUGGACGCAAUCAGCUGGAGUCCCUUCCACUUGAAAGUCUUCAUUUCCUGCAGUUCUGACUGGACAGUCAAGAUCUGGGAUCACACCAUCAAGACUCCAUUGUUUGUUUAUGACCUGAGUACUGCUGUAGGGGAUGUUGCGUGGUCUCCUUACUCCUCCACAGUGUUUGCUGCAGUCACCAUUGAUGGCCAGGCCCAUGUGUUUGAUCUGAACAUUAAUAAGCUUGAACCUCUCUGCACGCAGCUAGUGGUGACCAGGAAGAAAAAUAAAACAACACACAUCCAGUUUAAUCCUGUCUACCCUAUUAUCAUUGUUGGAGAUGAACGAGGCCUCAUCACCUGCUUGAAGCUCUCUCCCAAUCUACGCAAGAUGCCCAAGGAGAAGAAAGGCCAGGAGGUGAAGAAAGGACCCGAGGUGGAAAUGGCAAAACUGGAGAAGCUGCUCAGCCUGGUGAGAGAGCCAGGGAGCAAGGAAGAGCAGUGAGAGGGGGAAAGAUGACUCUGUGGGCAGCCUCUGGCCAAACAAGCUCGGCUUUGAUCGGUGGCUGCUUGGCAUGCAAGCCACGGGCCUCUGCUGCCCACUUUUUGCACAGCAGAAACACUUUUCCUCUGUGCCCAAAUAAAUCGAGGUGCUGG
ensembl:lncRNA